rnacentral:lncRNA from 1 species
AUGGAUCCCUUACAAAACGCGAAAGUUAAACAAUACGUGCUAAAACACUCUCUGCCGCAAAUUUAUCAGGCCCUGUUGACAGCUUCAUGUUUGUCAAGCCCAAAUGAUCCAAUACAGUUUCUGGAAAAUAAACUUGUUGCCCUUCAAGGACAUCAUAAUCUCCACGACAUUGACUGGUACACAUUUGCUCAUGAUGCAGAAAACCAAAUAGCAAAAACCUCAUUGACACGUGGCAGGGUGCGUUCCAUCUUCAAGGAGGCCGAAGACUCGGUAGGCCUACUGUGUGCCCAUCUUGGAAUCCAUUUGAAAUCCAGUACUCACCAGAUGAAGAAUGUUGAGUUUAAAAAAAAGCACCUUAUCUUCCCAGCUGCCCACAUAUCUGUUAGAGAAAGUCUACUCCUGUUACCGAAGACAUCUAACAAAGUAUUGCUUCAGACAAUGGGUGAAGUACAUCACACAAAGGAAGAGGAAGGCCUACGAGCUUCACCAGAAGAUGAGGUCGGCUGGAGAGCACUACGGGAGGAAACGGCAGGGCCUAGCACUCACAAGUUGGAUCAGCUGGUUAGGAUUCAGAAAGAGCGUCCAAGCAGGUAUGUGACCGGACUAAACCUAGAAGUUAUAGACACAACCGUUUUGUCCUCAUAA